GUUAGAGCUGGGGGAGGGGCUGGGAGCCCGGACUCCUGGGUUCUCUCGGGGCUGUCGGUGAGUUGCUGCCUGACCCCUUGGACAAGCCCCGUCGCCCUGGCGCCCAAGAGUCGACAGGGUCCUGCCCGGGAACAGCCCGCCGCCGCCCGCUCCCUGCCCUCAGAGAGCCGCGCCCUUUGCUGCAGGUCCCCAGCGCCUGUAUUCCCAGGGGUUCAGUGCCCUCAUUUCACAGACCGGGAAACUGAGGCACGGGUCAGUGACAGAGCUGAGAGCAAAGUCCAGGUCUUCUGGCUCUCAGACCUACCCUCUUAUCACUAACCCCUUCUGUCCCCCCGGAACUGGGACCAAAACCCAGGAGUCCAGACACCAGCCAUCCUCCUCUAAGCACAACACAAACUGCCUUCUGGAUGUGACUUCCUUCCUUCUCCCCUCCCUCAACCCUGGGAACUUCACAAGUAAAACAGUGACUGGCACUGAACUUAGAACGACCCUGGUGCUUUAUGGCAAUAAAGUUCUUGCAGAAGAAACUCAUGGAAUUUACUUAUUACAUGUGUGUCAGAGAUCCACAGGAUCUGUGCUAUCCCCCAGCUUUUAAAGAGUCCCUCAGAGGAAUCCCUUCCGUGUGCCAGACCCUCAGGAGGUCCCACUCUCUUCAGGGUAGGCCAUGAGGCCUCACUGUCUUCGAGUCUGACUGCCUGCACUCCAGCUUCACACCGUGAACUCUGCCCAGCGAGUCAACUGAGAUAGACUCCUGAUCAGAGAUUUUACACUCUUCAGGGACGAAUGCACUUCAGCGAGUAUUUGCAGUGACCUCAGGCUGCCUUUCCAAAAUGGAGCAGGGUUUGUCAACUGGAACACAUCACUGGCAAAUCCUUGGUUAGCCAAGAGAAGCAAAGAUGAAGAUAUAGUCCAUUCUGGCCAAGACAGUGCAAUCAGCCAGCUAAGCUGCUUUGCAAUCCAUUUUGGCUUUCUCCCCUGACCUUGGCUCCGUCGUGUCUUUCAGUCCCAGGUGAGAGCCCUGUGUCUUGCCAAAGACUACACAAAUCAUUCCUCGUGAUCCAAAGGAUCCUGUGACAGCUCCAUUUAAUCUCGUGGUACCAGUCACAAAAGUCCUUCCUUGCUUUGUCAAAUGACUGUUGUCCCAAGCUGGUGCAGGGCUGCCUGCUCUCUUUGGAGAGGACUCAUCAAGAUGGGUACCACUCUCUCUUCUGGCACCCACCACAGGGACUUUUGAUUUUACUACAGCGGACAGCAAAGAACAGAGACCUGUAGGAAAUAAUUUAGCAAAGCCGGAAGGAAGGAAAGAAUAGGUUUCUUACAAAGACUACAGCUUUGCUUGAAGCCUUAAGAACACGAUAUAAUUAGAGGUGCAGCCUGUUUAGAAAUGGAACCAGCUGAGGUCUCAAGGGAAACAGGUGGAAGCAAUUGACUCACUGAAGGACCUUAUAAAUAAGGCCUCAGCCGGCUGCUCUAGGAGAGCAGAAGUGUUACUGAUCCACUCUGGGAACUUGGUGAACUCCCACCCCUAACUGUCCUGCCCCUUAAGAUUAAAACUAACUGCUCUCAGCUCUAGCUUGGCAAUGGAUGCAGAGGACGCUAUGAAACAGGAUGCUGAGCAGCCCCCAGACACUGCGUCACUGGUUGAAGGUGUGAGAACCUUGCUAAGAUCCCUUGAAGUCCGGCAGCAGUGCCUCCUGGCAAACAUUGCCAGCUGCGACGAGCUGAUGGCAGAAAUCACCAGUCUUCAGGCUGCUCUCUGUACUCCUGCCAGAACAGAGGGCAGCUCCUUGCCUGUGCAACAAGAGAACAAGAAUUCCUGAAAUGCUUAAUUAGCUGAUCACCUGAGGGCUAUUGAUGAAGGAAGCCACUUUGUACUCUCAUUGCCUGUACCCUACAAAAUAUACUUGGCCCUCUAGUCCCUGAACUCUU